GGCCUCGUAGCUCAGUUGGCUAGAGCGUUGGCUUAAGUAAAGUCUUCCCCCUGCUGGCAUGGGUUUGAAUCCCACCUAGGCCG
rnacentral:tRNA from 1 species